UGGAGGUAGGAAUGGGCGAUUUUCUUACUAACCGAGUCAGAUUCGAAAGAAAGCAGCUACAUGUGAGCUAAAUCGGGUCAGUCUUACCUCUAUUA
rnacentral:SRP_RNA from 1 species